rnacentral:rRNA from 1 species
UGGAUCCUGAGUACGACGGAGCACGUGAAAUUCCGUCGGAAUCUGGGAGGACCAUCUCCUAAGGCUAAAUACUCUCUAGUGACCGAUAGUGAACCAGUACCGUGAGGGAAAGGUGAAAAGUACCCCGGAAGGGGAGUGAAAGAGAACUUGAAACCGUGUGCUUACAAGUAGUCAGAGCCCGUUAAUGGGUGAUGGCGUGCCUUUUGUAGAAUGAACCGGCGAGUUACGAUCUGAUGCAAGGUUAAGCAGAAAAUGUGGAGCCGUAGCGAAAGCGAGUCUGAAUAGGGCGAAUGAGUAUUUGGUCGUAGACCCGAAACCAGGUGAUCUACCCUUGGUCAGGUUGAAGUUCAGGUAACACUGAAUGGAGGACCGAACCGACUUACGUUGAAAAGUGAGCGGAUGAACUGAGGGUAGCGGAGAAAUUCCAAUCGAACUUGGAGAUAGCUGGUUCUCUCCGAAAUAGCUUUAGGGCUAGCCUCAAGUGAUGAUUAUUGGAGGUAGAGCACUGUUUGGACGAGGGGCCCCUCUCGGGUUACCGAAUUCAGACAAACUCCGAAUGCCAAAUAAUUUAACUUGGGAGUCAGAAUGUGGGUGAUAAGGUCCAUAUUCGAAAGGGAAACAGCCCAGACCACCAGCUAAGGUCCCAAAAUAUAUGUUAAGUGGAAAAGGAUGUGGCGUUGCCCAGACAACUAGGAUGUUGGCUUAGAAGCAGCCAUCAUUUAAAGAGUGCGUAAUAGCUCACUAGUCGAGUGACACUGCGCCGAAAAUGUACCGGGGCUAAACAUAUUACCGAAGCUGUGGAUUGUCCAUUGGACAAUGGUAGGAGAGCGUUCUAAGGGCGUUGAAGCAUGAUCGCAAGGACAUGUGGAGCGCUUAGAAGUGAGAAUGCCGGUGUGAGUAGCGAAAGACGGGUGAGAAUCCCGUCCACCG